GUACUUACCUGGCAGGGGGAGACACCAUGAUCAUAAAGGUGGUUCUCCCAGGGCAAGGCUCGGCCAUUGCACUCUGGUCGUGGUGUCUUCUCUGCCGCCUUUUGGCUAGGACUAUGUGUGGUAUCUAUCCUUAUCAGUUGUCAGAGGAGCGCUGAAGCACCUCCUA